UACGUAGGGGGCAAGCGUUGUCCGGAUUUAUUGGGCGUAAAGAGCGUGUAGGCGGCCAGACAGGUCCGUUGUGAAAACUCGAGGCUCAACUUCGAGAUGUCGAUGGAAACCGUCUGGCUAGAGUCCGGAAGAGGAGUGUGGAAUUCCUGGUGUAGCGGUGAAAUGCGCAGAUAUCAGGAAGAACACCUAUGGCGAAGGCAGCACUCUGGGACGGUACUGACGCUGAGACGCGAAAGCGUGGGGAGCGAACAGG
rnacentral:rRNA from 1 species